UUGAAGUCACUAUCGUUUGUGUAUUGAUCACUGGUGAUCUUUUCUUAUGUAUAUAGCUAGAUAAUAAUUUCAACGUGAGUAAUUCACCUCGACCCAAAUUAACCGGUUCUUCCUCCAACGACUGUGUGUCUUUAUAGGAAAGCAGGACUUUUAGAAGUAAAAGGUGUAUGGUGUGAGCGGAUACAGGGGGCAAGUGAACUACAAUAACUCGAUUGUUUACAUUAUUGGAUUGAACGGGAGCUCCAAUCUUCGCAACUUCAACACAAGUCUAUUGUCGUUUUCAAGACUUUGACUCAAGUCGUGUACCUCAAUAAGCAUUGACGACAAGCAGCUAGCCUGUAUUUGUGCAACAUCUCCUGCUAUUCCUUCAAAUAAAACACCGCACUGCACAGCGCUACCGCUGAAGUCCCUAGAUCACCUGGAAGAAGCAAGAUUUAUCCGUCCUCUUUUUGGUUAGAGCAAACGUAGAUAAUACGGAAUGUUUAUUACACUGCACAUUUGUACUGCCACCGCAACGGGCGUGACGUAUUGUUUAGUCGAACGCUCGCAUUAGCUUGGAGACAAUGGCCAUCCCGACCCGAAGAAGCUUCGGGCGGGCUACUGCAGGGUACGCAGGUGACGAGGUGGUCCUUGCUGCUGGAGGCAGCGUGCGGUCUUGAUUCUUGGAUAUCGACGGAGUCUCAAUCAAGAAGCCAGACGGCGGAGUCAGGCGAAGGUUGACCGAGAGUCUACUGUAUUGCCUGCUUUCUUUGACAUUCAUUUAUGUCAUAAUUCACACCCGGGUGAUUUUGUCGAGCUGCUUUUCGGCACACAGCUAUUUGCCGAAAGAAUAUGCGACCAUCACAGCUACUCCUCUACAAAUAGGGAUGGAAACACCCAAUGGGCCUUACCAUAUUUUACUGCACGCCGGUCACAGAAACGCCUACAUUUGGCACGAACGAAAUGACAAUACCUUUUGAGGUUUGGUUCGUGAUGCUAACACAGCUUCGUAUAUUAUGCAGUAAAAUUGGUGCGGUCA